rnacentral:siRNA from 1 species
CCAAGGUACUAAUCUUUUGGGGUC